UACGUAGGGUGCAGGCGUUAAUCGGAAUUACUGGGCGUAAAGCGUGCGCAGGCGGUUUCUUAAGUCAGAUGUGAAAGCCCCGGGCUUAACCUGGGAACUGCGUUUGAAACUGGGAGACUUGAGUGUGGGAGAGGGGGGUGGAAUUCCACGUGUAGCAGUGAAAUGCGUAGAUAUGUGGAGGAACACCGAUGGCGAAGGCAGCCCCCUGGGUUAACACUGACGCUCAUGCACGAAAGCGUGGGGAGCAAACAGG
rnacentral:rRNA from 1 species